GUUAGGAAUAUUGGACAAUGGGCGCAAGCCUGAUCCAGCCAUGCCGCGUGAACGAUGAAGGCCUUCGGGUUGUAAAGUUCUUUAGCCGAUGAUUAUAAUGACUGUAGUCGGAAAAUAAGCCCCGGCUAACUUCGUGCCAGCAGCCGCGGUAAUACGAAGGGGGCGAGCGUUAUUCGGAAUCACUGGGCGUAAAGCGUGCGUAGGCGGUCUCGUAAGUUAGGAGUGUAAGCCCAGGGCUCAACCUUGGAAUUGCUCUUAAAACUGCAAGGCUAUAAUCUCGGAGAGGGUAGCGGAAUUUCCAGUGUAGCAGUGAAAUGCGUAGAUAUUGGAAGGAACACCAGUGGCGUAAGCGGCUAUCUGGACGAGUAUUGACGCUGAGGCACGAAAGCGUGGGGAUCAAACAGGAUUAGAAACCCGAGUAGUCC
rnacentral:rRNA from 1 species